rnacentral:rRNA from 1 species
CCCUUAGAUGUUCUGGGCCGCACGCGUGCUACACUGAGUAAUUCAAUGGGUAAGGGAACGCUAGAGCAUUACCUAAUCUUGAAAUUUGCUCGUGAUGGGGAUCGACGGUUGCAAUUUUCCGUCGUGAACGAGGAAUACCUUGUAGGCGCAUGUCAUCAUCAUGCGCCGAAUACGUCCCUGCCCUUUGUACACACCGCCCGUCGCUCCUACCGAUUGAGUGAUCCGGUGAGGCUCUGGGACCUGGACGGAAAGAGCGUUUCGCUUGUUCUGUUUGGGAAACUUGGUCGAACCUUAUCAUUUAGAGGAAGGAGAAGUCGUAACAA